rnacentral:rRNA from 1 species
ACGGGUGAGUAAUGUAUCGGAACGUGCCCAGUAGCGGGGGAUAACUACGCGAAAGCGUGGCUAAUACCGCAUACGCCCUACGGGGGAAAGGGGGGGAUCGCAAGACCUCCCACUAUUGGAGCGGCCGAUAUCGGAUUAGCUAGUUGGUGGGGUAAAGGCCUACCAAGGCGACGAUCCGUAGCUGGUUUGAGAGGACGACCAGCCACACUGGGACUGAGACACGGCCCAGACUCCUACGGGAGGCAGCAGUGGGGAAUUUUGGACAAUGGGGGCAACCCUGAUCCAGCCAUCCCGCGUGUGCGAUGAAGGCCUUCGGGUUGUAAAGCACUUUUGGCAGGGAAGAAACGGCACCAUUUAAUACAGGGUGUCACUGACGGUACCUGCAGAAUAAGCACCGGCUAACUACGUGCCAGCAGCCGCGGUAAUACGUAGGGUGCAAGCGUUAAUCGGAAUUACUGGGCGUAAAGCGUGCGCAGGCGGUUCGGAAAGAAAGAUGUGAAAUCCCAGGGCUCAACCUUGGAACGGCAUUUUUAACUCCCGAGCUAGAGUAUGUCAGAGGGGGGUAGAAUUCCAC